CAGCCGCCACGGUAAUACCAGCAGCCCAAGUGGUGGUCGCGAUUAUUGGGCCUAAAGCGCUCGUGGCCGGGCCGGUAAGUCCCUUGUGAAAUCGGACGGCCUAACCGUUCGGCGUGCAAGGGAUACUGUCGGUCUUGAGGCCGGGAGACGUCCGAGGUACUCCGGGGGUAGCGGUGAAAUGUUCUGAUCCUCGGGGGACCACCGGUGGCGAAGGCGUUCGACGAGAACGGGCCUGACGGUGAGGGGCGAAGGCUAGGGGAGCAAACGGGAUUAGAUACCCGCGUAGUCCCUGUCUCUUAUU
rnacentral:rRNA from 1 species